CAGGAUAUCGGCCUGCCUUUAGGCACCCCACCUGCUGACAAAGGUUUAAUGCACGAGAUGAGCCUCCAACCUGGGUCAGAACCUGUGGUUUGAUCGAGCUGGGAAAAUUAUCAUUUCUGAAUGCAUCAUUGCAGAUUGUCGAGACCGAUGAAUUCUUUUUGGAGGAAGAGAAGAAAAAUAUACAACUAUUAAAAUAAAAACAAAAAAGAAAAAUCUGGGUCCCUUUUGAUAUGAUGACAUUGAGAUAAGCACAGUUUCCGGCCAAUUUUUUUCUUCCUAGAUGCAAAC